rnacentral:rRNA from 1 species
AGUUUUGAUCAUGGCUCAGAAGCGAACGCUGGCGGCGUACUUAACACAUGCAAGUCGAACGGGGAUCAUCGGUGUAGCAAUACAUUGCUGGUCCUAGUGGCGCACGGGUGAGUAACACGUGGGUAACCUGCCCUUGAGUUCGGGAUACCCCCUCGAAAGGGGGGCUAAUACCGGAUACGUUCCUCGGAUCGACAGGUCUGGGGAGGAAAGGUGGCGCAAGCUGCCGCUCUUGGAGGGGCUCGCGGCCUAUCAGCUAGUUGGCGGGGUAACGGCCCACCAAGGCUAUGACGGGUAGCUGGUCUGAGAGGACGACCAGUCACACGGGGACUGAGACACGGCCCCGACUCCUACGGGAGGCAGCAGUGGGGAAUUUUCCGCAAUGGGCGAAAGCCUGACGGAGUGACGCCGCGUGUGGGACGAAGGCCUUCGGGUCGUAAACCACUGUCAGUGGGAAAGAAGGGUGUCGGCGCUAAUACCGCCGGCACUUGACGGUACCUGCAGAGGAAGCCCCGGCCAACUCUGUGCCAGCAGCCGCGGUAAGACAGAGGGGGCAAGCGUUGCUCGGAAUUACUGGGCGUAAAGGGCGCGUAGGCGGGAUGGCAAGUCGGUCGUGAAAUCCUUCGGCUCAACCGAAGAACGUCGAUCGAUACUGCUGUUCUUGAGGAUUGCAGAGGAGACUGGAAUUCCCGGUGUAAGGGUGAAAUCUGUAGAGAUCGGGAAGAACACAGCGGCGAAGGCGAUUUUCUGGUCCAUACCUGACGCUAAAUUGCGAAAGCUAGGGGAGCAAACAGAAUUAGAUACUCUGGUAGUCCUAGCCGUAAACGAUGAGCACUAGGUGUUGGCCCUUAUGGGGUCAGUGCCGCAGCUAACGCAUUAAGUGCUCCACCUGGGGACUACGGUCGCAAGGCUAAAACUCAAAGGAAUUGACGGGGGCCCGCACAAGCGGUGGAACAUGUGGUUUAAUUCGAGGAUACGCGAAAAACCUCACCAGGGUUUGACAUACAGGAAGUAGCGAACUGAAAGGGGAGCCAACUGUUAAGUCAGUAGCCUGAACAGGUGCUGCAUGGCUGUCGUCAGCUCGUGUCGUGAGAUGUUGGGUUAAGUCCCGCAACGAGCGCAACCAUUAUCUCUUGUUGCCACCAUUUUUUUGCCGUAAGGUGAGAAGAUGAGCACUCUAGAGAGACUGCCUGGGAUAACCAGGAGGAAGGUGGAGAUGACGUCAAGUCAGUACGGCCUUUAUGCUCUGGGCUACACACGUGUUACAAUGGGAAGUACAGAGGGUUGCCAACCCGCGAGGGGGAGCUAAUCUCUUAAAACUUUCCUCAGUUCAGAUUGAAGUCUGCAAUCCGACUUCAUGAAGCCGGAAUCGCUAGUAAUGGCAGAUCAGCACGCUGCCGUGAAUACGUUCCCGGGCCUUGUACACACCGCCCGUCAAGCGAUGGGAGCUUGGAGUACCCGAAGUCCUAUGUAGAUAGGCCGAAGGUAAAACAGGUGACUGGCGCUAAGUCGUAACAAGGUAACCGUA